rnacentral:rRNA from 1 species
UACGUAGUGGGCAAGCGUUGUCCGGAAUCAUUGGGCGUAAAGCGCGCGUAGGCGGCCCGGUAAGUCCGCUGUGAAAGUCAAAGGCUCAACCUUUGAAUGUCAGCGGAUACUGCCGGGCUAGAGUCCGGAAGAGGCGAGUGGAACUCCUGGUGUAGCGGUGGAAUGCGCAGAUAUCAGGAAGAACACCAACGGCGAAGGCAGCUCGCUGGGACGGAACUGACGCUGAGGCGCGAAAGCGUGGGGAGCGAACAGG